rnacentral:rRNA from 1 species
UACGGAGGGUGCAAGCGUUGUCCGGAUUUAUUGGGUUUAAAGGGUGCGUAGGCGGCCCUGUAAGUCAGUGGUGAAAUCCCGGAGCUCAACUUCGGAAUUGCCUCCGAUACUGCCGUGCUUGAGGACUGGAGAGGAGAUUGGAAUUCACAGUGGAGCAGUGAAAUGCGUAGAUAUUGUGAGGAACACUAGUGGCGAAGGCGAAUCUCUGGACAGUUCCUGACGCUGAGGCACGAAGGCCAGGGGAGCAAACGGG